CCGAACGGACAACAAUUCGAUCGUAGUUCCACGGUUGGGUCCCCGUCGUCGGGGGGUCAGAGUAAUAAUUCGUGCGGGGAACAUCGGAAACGGUCGGAACGUCUGAAUCGCAUAUCCGGCCGAAAUGGCCGGAUACGAAUCGGGUGUCAGCUCUGGGAAUCCGGCCGGUCGAUCGGUCGAUUAUACGAGCCGUAAUAGACCGUCACGUAUCUACGAGAAUCCGUUGUGUACCGGGCCGGGUUCGACGCGGCUCGGGGAGCUGUCGGCCAGAAGCUUCUACACCGUGUGCCACGGUUCAGGAUUUGCAGCCGGACACGUGUACGCGGGUAUUCCCCGGUUGGGUGCACGCAUCGCGGCAUUAGCACUCUUUUUCAGACACCCUAACGUACUAGCAGUCGAUACUCCGGUAUUCUAGUAUUCUAGUAAUCUAGUAGCCGAUCGACACGAGUAACAUUUAGCGAUAAAGGUUCGACAAGAAGAGGACGUCGGGUACGAGUAAUCGGAUUGCGGCCGCCUCCGUCUUAUUCGCUUGCCGCUGGAUAGGAAACGGUCCCAAGACAAUCAGAGUAAUCUUCGUUUAAUUACGAAAUUAUUUCGAGUGCAGAAGCUUUCACGAACUCGUAAUCGAUUCGUCUCUAAACAUCGUACCGGUGCUUUUCAAUUAAAACUUUUUACCGGCCAGUACGAGGACCACCGCCGCGGCCUGGUAAAAACGGUCGACCCGCCGAGGGGCGAAGAACCGUUCCCCGUAAUUAAUUCAAUGACGUACUUCUGGAUUCGAUUCGUUCCAACGCCAGACGACAGAACCAUUACAAGAUUCCCUUUCUAUGAGCGUCAUAUUAAGCUGUUAUCGAAUGAACGUCGACGUGAACCUCAAAUUGAGAAACCAAGAGCACUUCAGACAAAGGGUUAACACUAGCACCAGAUGGAUCAAAAUGACCAUUCCUGAUUUCAUUUUUCCAGUUAUUCAACAGACAACAUGCUUCUCUGGAAAGGUUUCCACAGAAAAGACAACUCAACUGGUUCCAGUAUGGAGCGCAGAGUAUGCAGAAGAGAUUAGGAUAACCAUAAUGAAAGGAGUCGAUGAUUGUCCGGCGACGCGGGAUCCGCAGAUGGAGGAACAUUCGCGAGCGGAUCGGCGAGGCAGGCGGCGGCAGCGCCGCGGAAAUUUAUCGCCGAAGCUCCGCUGGGGUCAGUUAAAGCCACGGCUUUAAUGUCCGCGGUGAACGCGCAACAAGGGGAUACACGUGUACACAUGUUCGCCCGGUAAUUCUGAAUCGAGUUGGAACACUAUGCGCAGCAGAUCUUUUUCCAACGAUCGCCACGAUUGUCCACGGAGCCUCGCCGCUGCGAGCCAACAGAUAACGCGGCUUCCGCUCCUCCGGCGCGCCAGCACCGGAGUCGUAAAAACCUCGGAACGAGUCGUUGCCGCCGCACGAUAUUUCGCAAGAUGGAACAUCUCCCCAGCCAGCUCUACUCUCACCAAGAUUCUGAUGAGUUCUAUCAAUUCAACCCCGUCAUUCUAAAAGCAUUUAUCGAGUGGUCCUCAAUGAUGGUUCCCAGCUAAAUCACACAUCAACUGCUAAAAUAAUAUAAAAGGAAGAAAACUACGCGUCCUCUCGCGUAACUAAAACACUUGUUCGCGUCUUUCCAAAAUGAAGAUCUCACUCUGCCGAAAUCUCGACGUUGGUCCGCAACGGAUUAACCAGCCAACCCUAAAUCGAAUCGCAGCGCGUGGAGCAGUUACAGGAAUUCCGCGCGGCGAGCGAUCUAAUGAAAUCGUUACCGGCGUCCUCUCGGCACGGCUGGACGACAAAGAAUCGGCCGCUGUAGCACGAGCGUUUCCGGCGUGGCCGCUUUAACGAGGAAUCUUUGCCCGUGACCGGUGACUUCGAUCGAUGGUUCCGUUUCCGGCGAAGAAGGGGACACCGAGUGCAGCCCGUUACCUUUUCUCCGAUCCGGUUUGCCCCGCGGCGUCCUGCGGCCAUGUAAGAAAGAUGGGUCGAAUGAAGACGUGGCGGAAUUCCGUCGUUCGAUGCCUCCCCCCAUGCGAAGAAUUUAUCGACAUCGAUAAACCGAGGACUGCAGCAAGUAAUUCUGGGAAUCGAGGAGAAAGGGUCCGCUCAAAAAUGGCCCCGUAAAUGCCGGACAAAAUACUGGUUGUUUGUCCACGCUGGGUGCAGUUUGAAGCGUGGCAACAAACGCGAAUGAAAUCCGAGGAUCGCGGAGGCAAACUUGAUAAAUAAUUGCAAUACGGAGCGGCGGGUACGCGCGGCGACACUUACCAGAAGCGGAAAAGUUAAUUAAAAUUACUGGGAACAACGACGGGCGCACUCAGACGAUAUAUAAAUUCCCAACUGCGUAUCGAGGACGAGGAACCAGCGCGGAGAUGAUCCCGAACGAUGUCCGCGACGUACAGGGUGUAACGCAAGCGCAUGCUACCGAUUUCUAUUUCUGUAUCGAAUAAUUCGCAGGCUUUCAUAGUAUCCCGAGCACUUCGGUAUAUGUAACGCGUUAAAGUGUAACGCCGAUAGCUUCGACUGGAAUAGCCGCUCCGAGCAGCUUGUGUAAAGGUAAACAGUCGCGGAUUAUUGAAACACGAUAAUAGCUGCAACCUUAAAACAAGGUUAAGUAGGGCGCGUUCGCAGGGACUUUUCUCGUUCCGCGUCGCGAUCGGGGACCCAUAUGUUUCGUUACACUCUGUACAUCGUCCGAUAAUAAUCCUGCGGCCCGUCAGAGGUGUUAACCGGCGAACAAGUUCUCCCCGGCUCUUCUCUAUCCGCGCCCUCAUCUGCCAGCCGGGUCGACGUUUCUUUUGAAGCGGCUCUCCAUCUUGGAAUUGCUUCACAUACAGAGUAUUCGCAAGGGGUAGUAGGAUUCGACGGGGAAAACGAUCGAUUCGACCGGUGCCGCGAGUAAAGGAGAGAGAGGAGUGGAGAGAGAGGAGAGAGAGAGAGAAUGAUUGCCUUCCGCUCGGGCUUGCUCGAUUUUCCCCAUUUCCUUUCCGCCGCGUACGCGGCUCGUUGCACGGUUUAUACCUGGACCCGGUAAUUGAGCGAUUCGAUGCUCUCCGUUCGUUCGUUCGUUCGGUCAAAGUUACGCAGCUGAUACGCUGUCUUUAGAGCACUCUCUUUCUUUUUCUGCCCAAUCUGAUCUAGCUAAGUGAACGUCUUAACCGAUUAAUCUGCAUUGUGAGACUAACAAGUCGGACAAAUUUUUGUUCGGUCGGUUAAAGUUAUGCGGCUGAUACGCUGUCUUUAGAGCACUCUUUUUUUCUGUUGAAUUUGAUCUAGCUAAGUGAACGUCUUAACCUCUGCUUCGAUUAACCCUUUGCACUCGAGAAUAUUUUUCUCAAUAAAUAUUCAUUAUUUUCCGAUGAAAUGUCAAUGAUAUUUUUUGCAAUUAACAUAAAGAAAUACCUUGCAUAAGUUAAGCGACUAUUUUAUAUUGAUAUUCCACGUGUUCGUACAUUAUAUAAAAUUUAAUAUUGAAUUACCAAUUUUACAAUGAUCUUGCGUCAGACGAAAUGGAGACUGGAAGGCGCCCCUCGAGUGGAAAGGGUUAGCAAUAAAAAUUGAUACGGUAUAUUAUUGAAUCCUCCGAUUCUCUCUGAAUAAACAUUCUUUCUUGUUCCCCGUCUGGCGGGCUCGGCCGCGAACCAUUCAUCUCCGAGGAACGUUCUCCGAACGAAAGUAUAACGAACUGGGAGAUUCGCUCGGCGAGCCACCCCUUAAUCAUCCCGCGACAACUCGAGACCCGACCGACCCUCUCACGGUGCAAUUAAACGAGGAGGAACGACGGGUGAUACACACAACCGACGCGAGACCGGCUGAAGUGUUAAAUCACACGAUCCCGUGCGCUGCACGACAUACCAAGAAUCUCUCUCGAACAACAUCAAACCCGCGAAUCAACUAGCAUCUGCCAAUCCACGUCGCGAGAGGGUCAGCUCUUCCGGGAUGAACUCGUAACCCGGUUAACACGCUCGUCGUCGCUCGUAUUUUCCGAGACUUUCGAUUUUAUCGUUUAUAUCUCGACUGAGAUUCGAUAGAGAAAACGGGGAAUUCAGCGACGCUCACCGGUGGGAGACGCGACGGAUACGUUAACCCCUUGUCCUGUUUCUUUCUCGAUUGUGAUCGGUACAACUACUUUGUCGUUAACACGUUGAAUGCCAUGGGGCUCACUCAAAUUCAAUUACUGCAACUUCGUCGAUUAACACUUUGACUGCCAUGUACUCGUCGAAACUGCCAUGUAAUCGAAACAGUUUUCUUCGUUAACCAGAAAUUGGAAAGUCAAGAUUCUUAAUAAUUACUCCACUAUCUUUAUACGAAAUAUGUAUACGAGAUAUUUAUAAAAUAGCUUUGUUUCUCAAUUUACUAUGUUUCCGAGUGCAAAGGGUUAAUUCGUUUGCCAAUAUCUUUGCCACCUAUUACAUUCAUAUUAUUGUAUCUUCACUGUUGCUGCAGCAACUGUUACUGUUAAUUGUUCAAUCAAAUUCAAGACCUUCAAGUCUUCAAGACGCAAAUGACAAUAACUAGUAACCGCUUUUAUCUCUUCGAAAAUUAACAACCACAGAACUCGAUCUCACCUCUCGCAUUUAUUCUUAAGUUACCGUUGUAACUUAAAUUACUCUUAAUCUAUUAUUACAACGUUUAUUCGUAGCUUGUUGAAAAUACCUUCGAGUUCUUUAGAAUGCAAAUGCCAAUAACUAAUAGCCGCUUUUGUCUCUUUCAAAAUUAACAAGCACAGAACUCAAUCUCACCUCUCGCAUUUAUUCUUAAGUUACCGUUGUAACUCAAAUUACUCUUAAUUUAUUAUUACAACGUUUAUUCGUAGCUCGAUUGAAAAUAUAUUGGAAAGAUAAUUGACGCGUCAUGAAGUAUUAGUAAUUUUAACGACAGUGAUACUUAGGUUGCAGCGUUAUCGUUGAAAUCGGAGGAGGAGCAGCGAGUCCACGGAUGAAACGUUGAUUUCGUCCGGGCGGGUUACGGACGAGCCGAUAUUGUCGGAGCGAAUCGGUCGGGCCGGGGCGGUUUUAUAUUUCAAGAUGCUCGCCGGAGCAACGAGGUAACGGUUAGCCCCGAUCGAAGUUCAAUAUUUGCCGUUCGGUGCUUGUACCUUUACGCGCUGGGAGGCUGUUUGUUUAGGAUCAUUACGAGUGUUACAGUAGCUAAUUACUGUGACAGAGUUUUAUCGGCAAGUGUCCGCCGCCUCUGUUUUAUUACUUCGAUCCGGGGCCACUGGGACGUGAAACUGGCUGAAACUUCCCCGGCCGAUACCGGUCUAUAAUUUUGUUAACAUAUACAUGCCAGCACGGGGAAACUACUUCGGAAGACUUGCAUAAUUCGAACGGAGGUGUGACCACAAUCGUAAAAGCGAGUUGUUUCGUGAUUCUUCUAGAAAAUAUUCUAUAGUACUCGACGCAAGAAAGAAGUCAUAGUAAAUAGAGUACAAUUAACGUACUAUUUAAAAUAUUUCAAUUGUACUUUUAUUUGUUCUAUUUAUGCAAGACUUAAAGCUACUAUAUUUCGUAUAAGUUCCAAAUUAAGAAAUCUUAACAAAAUUUAGCAUUGUCGUACCGGCCAAUUUUCAGAAAACUGAAUUGGGCGGAUGGCAAUUUCCACUGAGGUCGACUUGUAUCACUAUACCUAGAAAAACGCAGAUAUAUCGUUGUGCGAUAUAUUUUAGAUCGGUAAUCAAUUCGAAUGAAAUUUUAUAUUCAAUACUGUGGUAAUCAGCGAAGUUGCAUAGCUAAGUGUCUAUAGAAAAACGAGAUUUCUCGUUACCGGUAAGCAACGUGUUAAUUCAAUCUAAGAAAAUGUCGUCUGUAUCUCGUUAGAUGCUAUCGAAUAUUUAUGACUCGACAUAGGACUGCCAAGGGUUAAUCGGAACCGGCAAAUCGUACGGCACGUUGGGAACCGCCGGUCUAAUGGAUCCUGUCACGCCUCCGCCAUCGUUUCAGGAUUUUCCAUCAUUUCCCUGGCAUUCGUUCCUCGUUCCGCGGAUCGAAGUUUUCCCUGGCCCGGAAACUUCUUCGCGAUACACCCCCGAGUCAACGAUUUCCGGCAGGAAGGGACACUAUUGUGGCCACGCGGCGCGCUGUCCUUUCAUCGUAGGCGCGAGCUUUCUUGCGAGCAGCUCGCGCGAUCCUCCCGAACGAGUCCCCAACCGGAAACUCGACUUUUACACUCGCGCGGGGAAUUACACGGGUUCCGCGGACGGUCGUAUCGAUACCGAGAGUAUCGACGCCAAGUUUCGGGGCUGGAAACUUCGGAAUUUGAAAGAUUCGGGACCCGAAGAAUUUCGGACUUCAAGCGUUUCGCGCGCGAGGAAUUCGGGAUCCGCGGAAUCCCGAGUUUGACGAAUUUCGGAUUUGAGAGACUCACGAUCGGACGAAUUCGGGAUCCGAAGAAUUUCGGAUUUCAGGCGUUUCGCGCGAGGAAUUCGGGAUCCGCGGAAUCUCCGGUUUAACGCGUUUCGGAUUCGAAAGAUUUAUAAUCCGAAGAAAGGAUAAUACGAAGAAUCUGCGAUUCGAACGAUGGUAACCAUGACGUUUACAAUACGGGACUUCGAAGCACUACUCCAUGUUUAGCCAGAAAAUUACAGUGUUGUCCGGUAGGAAUCACAGAAUUUAUCCCAACGUAGUUUUUCCGUGAACUCGGACGAGAACUUUCGCGAAUUGCUGGAAAUUUCGAAUGAAAAAUUAGAAGCCCGUUAAUGCCGAUACUUGACGCCAUUUUGCGAGCGUCCGCGGCGCGAAUUUAAAUUCCGGCCCGCGGCCGAACAACAACGAAACACUUUUAAUUGGAUUAAAUGAAAUUCAAGUCUGAAGGGGUUGAAAAACGGUCGGGCCCGAUAGAAAACGGGAAUGAAAUACUAUCUUGACCCUAUUUACGAGCCGGUCGGACCGCUGGCAGUUGAAUCGCGCGGAGAGGGGGCAGAUGGGGGAUGGACGAGACACGCGAGCCCGCGCCGCGAUGGCCGCCGGACAAUCGCGGCAGAUUAUUCGACCCGUUGUCCGGCUUGUCGCGCGACUCGUCGAUUAAAAAUACAGUGGAACCUCGAUUAACGGCGCAUUCGCGGCACCCGUCAAUUCGGCGGAUAUUACAUUUUAUAAACAUUACUCGGUCGAACCUCUAGGCAGCUUCGAUUCGCGAAACUACGAGCACCGAUGCGACCGGAAUCAGCUGUUCCCGAUUUCUUGUUUCGCGAAUGUUCGAACGAGAUCGUCCGAGAAGAGAUUAACCUGAGGUAGCUGAACAUUCUUGUUCGUUAUUAACGUAACCUGGCCCGCAAGCCUAAUGUUAACACUAAAUCUGCCAACCAGUGAAAUCGAUCCCAUCGAAUUUCUCCAUGUAAACUCCAACAUUCCUCGUUUCUAUCGCAAUUACCCCUUUGCACUCCGUAGCCUCUCAGUCGCCAAUCGACACAGCAGAAUUAUAGAGUUUGACAUUUAAUAUUAAACUUCGCACAACGCAUCGACAUGUGAAAUAUUAAAAUGAAACGGCCUCUUUCUUUCGUUUAUGUGCGAUCUCGGUAAGUCAGUUUGAAAGUGUCGUUGGUAUUCGAUUAGAAAAUGUUGAGUAUUUCUAAUGAAAAACUUCUGGAGUUAAAGUAGAUUAUGCGACACGCGAACUGAAAUGCCAAUUGAAACUCUGACAAAUCUACUGUUUCUUUCUAUAAAAUAAUUAGUCGGAGGUUUAGUAGUUCUAAUGUUGAAGCUGCAUCUUGGUGAACUAUCAUUAGAAUUAUCGUUCUAUCCUUAGAAUUUAUCGUUUUGCGAACAAUACAAUAGAGGAUAUUAAAGUUACGCAAUUCUAUGUAUUUGAUACAUGUCUUCGAAAAAGGCAAACAUUGUAGACGCGUAGGUUAAUAUUGAUGUAAAAUUCAUGGAUGUGCGUGCAUAUGUAUGAGUGUAUGAGUUGUUUUGAAU